rnacentral:lncRNA from 1 species
CUCGGGUCUCUUCUGUGUCACCGUCAACCCCUACAAGUGGCUGCCGGUGUACAACCCGGAGGUGGUGUUGGCCUACCGAGGCAAAAAGCGCCAGGAGGCCCCUCCACACAUCUUCUCCAUCUCUGACAAUGCCUAUCAGUUCAUGCUGACUGACCGUGAGAAUCAGUCAAUCCUGAUCACGUAAGUACACUCACUCCCUACUCAAGUCCCUGAGGGGCUGCCCCAUGCCCAGGAACCACACGCUCUCUGGUUCCAUGUUUGAUUUGACAGCGGAGAAUCCGGUGCAGGGAAGACUGUGAACACAAAGCGUGUCAUCCAGUACUUUGCAACAAUUGCAGCUAGUGGGGAUAAGAAGAAGGAGGAGCAGUCUGGCAAGAUGCAGGGGACACUUGAGGAUCAAAUCAUCAGUGCCAAUCCCCUGUUGGAGGCUUUUGGUAAUGCCAAGACUGUGAGGAAUGACAAUUCCUCACGCUUUGUAAGUUGUCGCCUGGCGUAAGAAAAGAUGACUUGAUUCUUAUCAACACAAUGCAGUCAGAGUUGGUGAGGUGGAUCUAGAUCUUUUAUUAUUAUGAUUAUUAUUAUUAUUAUUAUUAUUUAAUUUCAGGGUAAAUUUAUCAGAAUCCAUUUUGGUGCCACGGGAAAACUGGCUUCUGCUGACAUUGAAACAUGUAAGACCAGGCCUCCAGGCCUGACCACAUUCCUUCUGACUUUGAUCCUCAGU